rnacentral:tRNA from 1 species
AAUGAUAUGCCUGAUUAUAGGACUACUUUGAUAGAGUAAAAUAAACAAUACUGAAAUUGUUAUCAUUA